rnacentral:rRNA from 1 species
GAUGAACGCUGGCGGUGUGCCUAAUACAUGCAAGUCGAGCGAACGGACGAGAAGCUUGCUUCUCUGAUGUUAGCGGCGGACGGGUGAGUAACACGUGGAGAACCUAUCUAUAAGACUGGGAUAACUUCGGGAAACCGGAGCUAAUACUGGAUAAUAUUUUGAACCGCAUGGUUCAAAAGUAAAAGACGGUUGUGCUGUGACUUAUAGAUGGAUCCGCGCUGCAUUAGCUAGUUGGUAAGGUAACGGCUUACCAAGGCAACGAUGCAUAGCCGACCUGAGAGGGUGUACGGCCACACUGGAACUGAGACGCGGUACAGACUCCUACGGGAGGCAGAAGUAGGGAAUCUUGCGAAAUGGGCGGAAGCCUGACGGAGCAACGCCGCGUGGAUGAUGCAGGUCUUCGGAUCGUAAAACUCUGUUAUUAGGGAAGAACAUAUGUGUAAGUAACUGUGCACAUCUUGACGGUACCUAAUCAGAAAGCCACGGCUAACUACGUG